ACACUGUACGAGUUUGAUCAUGGCUCAGAGCGAACGCUAGCGGCGGGCUUAACACAUGCAAGUCGAGCGGAGAGCUUCGGCUCUCAGCGGCGAACGGGUGAGUAACACGUAGGUCACGUACCCUUUGAUGGGGAAUAACCUAGGGAAACCUGGGCUAAUACCGCAUAUGUCCUUCGGGAUGAAAGCCUUCGGGCGUCAGAGGAUCGGCCUGCGGCCCAUUAUUUAAUCCUAGUUGGUAGGGUAAUGGCCUACCAAGGGUACGAUGGGUAGCUGGUCUGAGAGGAUGAUCAGCCACACUGGAACUGAGACACGGUUCAGACUCCUACGGGAGGCAGCAGUGGGGAAUAUUGGACAAUGGGCGAAAGCCUGAUCCAGCCACGCCGCGUGGGUGAUGAAGGCCUUCGGGUUGUAAAGCCCUGUCGGGAGGGACGAAUCAAUGACGGUACCUCCCAAGAAAGCACCGGCUAACUCCGUG
rnacentral:rRNA from 1 species